rnacentral:rRNA from 1 species
GACGAACGCUGGCGGCGUGCUUAACACAUGCAAGUCGAACGGACUAUUUCAUUUCGGUGGAAUAGUUAGUGGCGAACGGGUGAGUAACGCGUAGACAACCUACCUCUUAGAUGGGGACAACAUCGCGAAAGCGGUGCUAAUACCGAAUGAAGUGACUUUCCUGCAUGGGAGAGAUACUAAAGGUGGCCUCUAUUUAUAAGCUACCAUUGAGAGAUGGGUCUGCGUCUGAUUAGCUAGUUGGCGGGGUAACGGCCCACCAAGGCGACGAUCAGUAGCCGGCCUGAGAGGGUGAACGGCCACACUGGGAAUGAGACACGGCCCAGACUCCUACGGGAGGCAGCAGUGGGGAAUAUUGCGCAAUGGGGGAAACCCUGACGCAGCGACGCCGCGUGAGCGAUGAAGGCCUUAGGGUUGUAAAGCUCUGUUUUAAGGGACGAAUGUUACGGGGAGUAAUAUGCCCUGUAAAUGACGGUACCUUAAGAGGAAGCCCCGGCUAACUACGUGCCAGCCGCCGCAGUAA